GGUCAACCGUUUUCCCUAGGGCAAACUCAGAUCCACCACUACAAUAACUGCUUUUUGAUGUUAUUGGAAAUCGAUUGAACUGCCUUGACGUGGAAUUUUUCCAAUGUAAAUCCGGAUAUGAAACAGUUGAGGACUAUGAUAUCAAAGAUAAGUAAUGAAAUCAAUUUUAAGUUUAAACUAAUUACGGGUUUUAAAGUUUACUAAACUCUAAUACGAAUUUGUUUUUUUAGGCUGAUUCUGUUUUUACAUUAAGAUGAGUACACUUACAAACUGGCUGUGGAAUAAAGAAUACAUCAUCAUUUGUUACUUGCCUUAAGUUCGUAGACAUGAGUGAAACCAUCAUUGGGAACCAUCUCUUCUACUAAGGUGAUUUUCUGAUCUAUU